rnacentral:rRNA from 1 species
AGAGAGAGACAUGCGCGCAUAUCAAUAAGCGGAGGAAAAGAAACUAACUAGGAUUCCCUCAGUAACGGCGAGUGAAGCGGGAAGAGCUCAAAUUUGAAAUCUUCAAGGUUCUACCUUGACGAAUUGUAGUUUAAAGAAGUGUUUUCUGUUGAGUUUUGGUAAAAGUUCUUUGGAAUAGGACAUCAUAGAGGGUGAGAAUCCCGUAUUUGACCAUUAUUUCCAGCUUUGUGAUACACUUUCAAAGAGUCGGAUUGUUUGGGAAUGCAGUCCAAAAUGGGUGGUAAAUUUCAUCUAAAGCUAAAUACUGGCGAGAGACCGAUAGCGAACAAGUACCGUGAGGGAAAGAUGAAAAGAACUUUGAAAAGAGAGUUAAACAGUAACGUGAAAUUGUCAAAAGGGAAGCGUUUGACACCAGUGUUGUUUUCUCGAAAAUCAAUUAAAAAAGGCAGGAUUUUGUGUUGUAUUGACUUUAUCAGCUUUCUGCACUCUUUUCUUGUCUUUUUUAAUGCACUUUUCGUUUAACAAGUCAACAUCAAUUUCUUUUAUUGUAAAAGGGUCAUUGGAAGGUGGCUUUCUUUUCGGAGAAAGUGUUUAUAGCCUUGGCCUCUGCAAUCGGAGAGAUUGAGGUCUGCAGCGUAGAUCCUUCGGGGUUAGAUACAUUUGUGCUAAGUUAUAGCCUUUCAUAGACAACUUGUUGACUAUGAUCAGUCAUGUAGCUUACUCGCUUAUGCUAUUUUACCUACGCUUAGGAUGUUGAUGUGAUACUGCGAGCA